AAUUAGGGUUCGAUUCCGGAGGGGGAGCCUGAGAAACGGCUACACAUCCAAGGAAGGCAGCAGGCGCGCAAAUUACCCAAUCCCGAUACGGGGAGGUAGUGACAAUAAAUAACAAUACAGGGCUCUUAUGGGUCUUGUAAUUGGAAUGAGUACAAUUUAAAUCCCUUAACGAGGAACAAUUGGAGGGCAAGUCUGGUGCCAGCAGCCGCGGUAAUUCCAGCUCCAAUAGCGUAUAUUAAAGUUGUCGCAGUUAAAAAGCUCGUAGUUGAAUUUCGGGGUUCUACCGUUGGUCGGGCAAUUGUCUGUACUGGCGUGUAGAAUUUCUACCUUCUGGGGAACUAUCAUGUUAUUAAUUUAGCGUGGUAGGAAACCAGGACCUUUACCUUGAAAAAAUUAGAGUGUUCAAGGCAGGCUUACGUCUGAAUACAUUAGCAUGGAAUAAUAAAAUAGGACGGUGGUCCUGUUUUGUUGGUUUCUGAAUCACCGUAAUGAUUAAUAGGGAUAGUUGGGGGCAUUAGUAUUCAAUUGUCAGAGGUGAAAUUCUUGGAUUUAUUGAAGACUAACUUCUGCGAAAGCAUUUGCCAAGGAUGUUUUCAUUAAUCAAGAACGAAGGUUAGGGGAUCGAAGACGAUCAGAUACCGUCGUAGUCUUAACCAUAAACUAUGCCGACUAGGAAUCGGACGAUGUUA
rnacentral:rRNA from 1 species